rnacentral:rRNA from 1 species
GGCUCAGAGCGAACGCUGGCGGCAGGCUUAACACAUGCAAGUCGAGCGGGCGUAGCAAUACGUCAGCGGCAGACGGGUGAGUAACGCGUGGGAACGUACCUUUUGGUUCGGAACAACACAGGGAAACUUGUGCUAAUACCGGAUAAGCCCUUACGGGGAAAGAUUUAUCGCCGAAAGAUCGGCCCGCGUCUGAUUAGCUAGUUGGUGAGGUAAUGGCUCACCAAGGCGACGAUCAGUAGCUGGUCUGAGAGGAUGAUCAGCCACAUUGGGACUGAGACACGGCCCAAACUCCUACGGGAGGCAGCAGUGGGGAAUAUUGGACAAUGGGGGCAACCCUGAUCCAGCCAUGCCGCGUGAGUGAUGAAGGCCCUAGGGUUGUAAAGCUCUUUUGUGCGGGAAGAUAAUG